rnacentral:rRNA from 1 species
UACGGAGGGUGCGAGCGUUGUCCGGAAUCACUGGGCGUAAAGGGCGCGUAGGCGGUGCGACGUGUCUCCUGUGAAAUCUCCAGGCUUAACUUGGAGUCUGCAGGGGAAACUGUCGUGCUGGAGUACUGGAGAGGUGAGUGGAAUUCCCGGUGUAGCGGUGAAAUGCGUAGAUAUCAGGAGGAACACCGGUGGUGUAAACGGCUUUCUGGACCAUAACUGACGCUGAGGCACGAAAGCGUGGGUAGCAAACAGG